UCUAAUUGGUUAGAAACUUCGGCAUAGUUUAACAGAAGUAAACGCCGCGUUAUCACAAGUGAAGAAAAUUUUGAAAAACUAGCAGACUAUGUGUUACAUACUCCUAGUACUCUAUUUUUACUGAUCUAUAAUCCCAGUAUAUGUAUAGUGCUUACAUAGAUAAAUGGUUUUAGUAUGUUGCAGUGAAGUGUAGGACUGUGCCGGACUGCCGGAUUUUUGUUUUUCAACCUUGAAAUAUACAGAAUGCUUGUGUCGUUUUUGGAUUAAAAUUGUUCAAUAAUAUCAAAAUUCUUUAAAUUCUUAUGUUUCAUUCAACGUUUCGAUCACAAUGUGAAUCUUUAUCAACAAUCUAUAAGUACAAGUAUAAAAUAAUUGACAUAAAUGAAUUGUUAAGAAUUUAUUUUAUCGUCGGUUUAUUUUCUACACUAAAUUAUUAUUGUAAGAAAGUUGGUUUUAUUUGAAAUUUAGGUUAUGUUAUUAUAUUGGUGUGUGACUUGAAUUUCAAUAUUAAUGAUAUUUUUAAUACUUUUUUCAGAGAAACUUUCACAGGCUACUGUAAUACUAUAUACAAAACUUCUGCAUUCCUCCUGCGUCGGUUUUUGUUGAGUCGAAUUUGCUGACGUUUCGCCAAUCAUUGAAUAAUUACUGCCGUCUUCAUUGUUCAUCGAAGGUGGGCAACAUUCUAGGCGACCGUCUUACGGUCUUGAGCAGUUCGAAAUAGUCCAACCUCUGAUAUUUUUCAACCAGGAAUGUUUCAUCCUACUUAUGCCCCGUUUCCCCUUAAUAUUCCCCUCCAUUAUCAAUAUGACUAAGGGAGAUUCGCACAAAACGAAAUCUACUGGUGUUAAGUCACAUGAUCCAGGGAGCCAUUCAAUGAAUCCAGCUCUACCGAAUAAUUUCUGUGGUAGUGAUUACUUAAAAAUUCUUUAAUUUCUCGAUGGUAGCGCGGAGGAGCUCCUUCUUGCUUAAACCCCCAUGGAUUAACAGUUGAAUAAUAAAGCAUUCUUCCGCCUCACCCAAAUAUGAGUGAUCCACCCUUAAAAAUAAUGGCGCUAUGGUAAUUUUUUUGCAAUUGUGAAAAUGAAAAUAUUGGAAUAAAAUGUUACGUGUAAGUAUGUAUUAUUAUUAUAAAGUGUCAUUUUUUGCAUCUUGUAGGGCAAGUUAAUAGAGCGAGAAGUUAGUCAGGAGUGCGUACUGCCACCUGUUAUUGAAUUUAUAUUCGUAGAUAAUACUUUAUCGGGCCCUUUGGGAGAGAGAAGAAGGUUUUCGACGGAAAGUGCUGAGCGCUUUCUUUUCAAAAUCUUCCACUAAUAUAUUUGCGAUGACUGGUGAUAACGGGGAACCGGUAGCGGUUCCUCCUAUUUGUUUUUAAAUUUCAACGUUGCACGAAAUAUAUGUUCCAGUUUCAGGAACUUUACUAAAAAGCCAUCUAAUGUAAUGAUGCAAUAAUCUCAAUGAAUUGAAAGGAAUUAAUAUAGAAGAUGACGUAGGAUCUUUUUUAAGUUGCUGACCUGUGAGAAUAUUAUGAACUGUUUCAUGAUAGUCAGUUGUGUUUAGCGUAGCAGCAGCAGGAGUGAAAAUUGCCAUUAACAAUCAAACGAAGAAAAACAAGUUAUAGGAAUGAAGAAGGAAUCCUGGCUGAGAAAUAUUAGAGACUCUACCGAUAUGAGUGUAGAAAAGAUGGUCGACAACCUUCGUUAGGGGAUGACACUACAGGAAGAAGAAGUUAAUAGAGCGAAAUUUUGAAGGAUUGCAUAUAGAAAAAAAUUGCAGAUACUGUUAAUUUUUGAAUCAAAAAAAUAAAAAUUAUACACGGUGUUCUAUGUGACAUAAAAAUGCGGCAUAAUAUGAUAUCAAAAAUUACCUUUUAGAGUCACAUCAACUAGAGUUUUAAAAUAUUACAUUAUGCAUCAAGUUUGUUAAACGCCUCUUUAGUCAC